rnacentral:misc_RNA from 1 species
GUUCUUCUCAUCAUAGGGGAGCCAGGAUCGGAGUAAACAUCUUCGGAAGACCUAUCGAAUAGUAUUCGUGGACUCACAUCUUUAAAGCCAGGAGAUAUUACCCAGGUUCUUGUUCGCCUUGUCUUGUACCACGAUUCAUAAACUAGAGCUAGAGAAUCAUCACACCAAGAAAUUCCACCAUAGCGAAGAUCGAGUUUGUGUAAGAUUUCUGGCUGUUCACCUUCAAGAGGCUCAGCAGGUUGUGCAUAAAUUAUAUCUCGAGGAGAAACUUCUACUUUUGCAUCACCCUCAUCUUGUGUCUCUGCCCAGUAAAGUGUUGAAGGCUUGUCAGCUCUCCAAUUGAUUGAUCGCAUCCCUUUGCGCACACUAUUGAAUGCUAUGGGAAUGUCCUCAGCAAG